rnacentral:rRNA from 1 species
GAUGAACGCUGGCGGCGUGCCUAAUACAUGCAAGUCGAGCGAAUGGAUUAAGAGCUUGCUCUUAUGAAGUUAGUGGCGGACGGGUGAGUAACACGUGGGUAACCUGCCCAUAAGACUGGGAUAACUCCGGGAAACCGGGGCUAAUACCGGAUAACAUUUUGAACCGCAUGGUUCGAAAUUGAAAGGCGGCUUCGGCUGUCACUUAUGGAUGGACCCGCGUCGCAUUAGCUAGUUGGUGAGGUAACGGCUCACCAAGGCAACGAUGCGUAGCCGACCUGAGAGGGUGAUCGGCCACACUGGGACUGAGACACGGCCCAGACUCCUACGGGAGGCAGCAGUAGGGAAUCUUCCGCAAUGGACGAAAGUCUGACGGAGCAACGCCGCGUGAGUGACGAAGGCUUUCGGGUCGUAAAACUCUGUUGUUAGGGAAGAACAAGUGCUAGUUGAAUAAGCUGGCACCUUGACGGUACCUAACCAGAAAGCCACGGCUAACUACGUGCUAGCCGCCGCCGUAA